CCUUAGAACACCUUUCACUUCUGCCUUCAUUUCUCCAGUGAUUUAAAAAAAAAAAUUUAUUUUGGCAAUUUAUCUGAAACAUUACCGAUAAUAGUGAUGGAGAGAGGUUGGGCAGGGACAGUGGGCUGCAGAAGCGUCCAGUGCAAAGUCCAGAUUUCCCCUUCAUCACAGGCUGGGAAGAAUGUGACCAGUAGCCAGAACAGUCAAUGAGGAGAGGAGAAGGGACUUCCAAGACAAAAGGAAGGGGAGCAAAGGUAAUUGCUAUCUGGUAAUUGCCCGAUGUCAUACAUGGGAAUACAACAGAGAACAAAUGGACAAAGUCACUGCUGUCAUGGAAGGGAGAUGAAAAAGUAGCACAGAGGUAAGUCAGGGAGGGUAAGAAUUCCUGGGAUCACAGAGAGCUGCUGUUCUACAGAGGGUUGUUGGAGAGAUGGGUCAGAAAAGGUGACAUCUGAGACGUAAUUUGGAGGAAAUGAGGGAGAGUGAAGAAUACAGGGAGCCACUAAGUCAGAACAAGGCCUGAGGUGGGAGAGCGCAUGUCCUGUGUGAUUCACAACCACGAGGGCUGUGUGGAGCCUGCUAAGCCAUGGCAAGGACUGUGAGCAUGGGGCUAGGGAUGACAUCAGCCAGGUCUGGUUGUUAACUGUGGUGGCCACACUGUUGGUUGCUCUGACCCUGCCGUCUCUACUUAUUCCCUACCACAGAGCUCAUCUCCAUGAAAGGUUGCAAAUACCAGAUGCCUGCCUUGCCUGCCUUUCAGUCAACGCAUGAACGAGUCGUCCAAAAAUUCCCACAACGGUUCCAUAAGUUGUAGCUUAUGGUCAAAUAGAUGGGAAAAGGGAGAGACCGCAAGUCACGAGCCAGUCAGGAGGCUUUCACCGGAUUCUAGAACAGAGGUAAGGUAUGUCUGAAGAGCAGUAAUGGUCAUAGGACAAGAGAUAUGGGUUGAGCGAGGCAGAGAUGACAGACAUGGAAGUGACAGUUUCUGGGAACUGGAUGUGAGCAGAAAGGGAGAGAGGAGUCAGCUGAGGAGGUGGUGAGUGGGAGAGUGACAGAACCUUCUGGAGCAAGGGCCACAGUGUGGCUAGAAAAAAAUGAAUCUGGUGAGGUGGUGGCUGUGAGGUGGUGGCCAUUAGUUCAACAUGGAGUACAUCAACAUGCAAGGGAAGGGAAAAGAUUCCCAUCUUGAGAGACUAUCUAAAAGGCAAGAAUAGAAACUCACCAGACUUGUUCACAGAUCUGGUCUAUGUAUAGGUUAUUCAUUCUACCCCCCCACUUCCUCCACCUCCCCCCCACCACCCCAUGCUCUUUGCCUGGCAAACUCCUAUUUAUUCUUCUACACUCAGAUUAAUUCCCAACUCUUCAGUGAAGCCUCCUUAUCCUACCCCGACGCAGAAUUUGUUCCUUUCCUAUGUUCCCAGAGCCUUUUGUGGACACCUGCAUCCUAUCAUUUGCCACACACAAUGCAUUGUCAUUUCCCUGCUCCCUCCCUCUUCAGUGUUAGACUGCAGGUGCCCUCCCUAGAGACCAGCUUAAUGCUUUUUGUAUUCCUGGCAUUUAAUACUGUGCCUAGAAGACAUAAUAGGUAAUCACCAAAUGAGUGAUGAAUGAACGAGUGAAUAAAUGAAUGAAAUAUUGAUCAUAGAAAAAAGGUAGAAGUUAAAAGUGUUAGCAGAGAGUGAUGAAAUUUUGAAACAUUUAAGUUAGGAUAUUUUGACAUCCAUGGAGAAUGGUGGAGUAGAUGAGGUUAUCCUUGGAAACUCUUAGAGUCUAUAUGUGGAAGGAGGAGAUCUAAAUCUGAGCUGACAUCAGAUAUGAAGAGGGAUUACAGUCAUUACCUGAGAAUAGCUCAAGAAGGGUGCUGAGAAGUGAGUGAAAUAUUUGAUGAAGGUGAAAGCCAGAGCCCGCAGAGAACCUGAAGGUCAGGAAAUCAGGAGAAUAAGUCUUUAGGAUUUUCUGGAAACAUAGCAGUCACAUUUUAUGAUGCAAUCAUGGCAAUGCAAUCAUGGAAAUCUUACAUACUCAACGUUGGUUUUUCCAUAGGACUCAAUGUAAGCGGGGGGGGGGGGGGGGGUUCAUUCUCGGCUGUCAGGUGUAUAAACAUGAUAGUUUUGUGCCAUUUUUCAGGGGGGGCUGAUCUUGCAGCCAGGCCAAUGGCAUUUUUUUCAUUGUUUCCAUUCUUCUCCCCCUUUCUGAGGACAAUUUGAGAAGAUUAAAGUUAUGCUGGCUAUAA